UUCGGUCCGCUGACGAGUGGCGAACGGGUGAGUAACACGUGGAGACCUGCCCUGGGGUACGGGACAACAGUUAGAAAUGACUGCUAAUACCGUAUACGUCCUACGGGAGAAAGAUUUAUUGCCCUUGGAGGGGUCCGCGUCGGAUUAGCUAGUUGGUAAGGUAACGGCUUACCAAGGCGACGAUCCGUAGCUGUUCUUAGAGGAAGAUCAGCCACACUGGGACUGAGACACGGCCCAGACUCCUACGGGAGGCAGCAGUGGGGAAUAUUGCGCAAUGGGGGCAACCCUGACGCAGCGAUGCCGCGUGAGUGAAGAAGGCCUUCGGGUUGUAAAGCUCUUUCAGUAGGGAAGAUUGUGACGGUACCUACAGAAGAAGCUCCGGCUAACUCCGUGCCAGCAGCCGCGGUAAUACGGAGGGGGCGAGCGUUGUUCGGAAUUAUUGGGCGUAAAGAGCACGUAGGCGGUUUGAUAAG
rnacentral:rRNA from 1 species